rnacentral:tRNA from 1 species
GGUAGAGUGGCUGAGUUUAAGCAUUAGACUGUAAAUCUAAAUAUAAAGGUUGCAAUCCUUUUUCUAUCA